UACGUAGGGACCAAGCGUUGUCCGGAAUCAUUGGGCGUAAAGAGCGUGUAGGCGGCUUGUUAAGUCUUGCGUGAAAUCUCGGGGCUCAACCCCGAGCGGUCGUGAGAAACUGGCAGGCUAGAGUGCGGGAGAGGAGAGUGGAAUUCCUGGUGUAGCGGUGAAAUGCGCAGAUAUCAGGAAGAACACCCGUGGCGAAGGCGGCUCUCUGGGCCGAUACUGACGCCGAGGAGCGAAAGCGUGGGGAGCGAACAGG
rnacentral:rRNA from 1 species